rnacentral:lncRNA from 1 species
ACUGGAAUCUACUGUGUUCUAUGAAAAAUAAUCUACGAAAAAUAACUGUUAAGACACAUUAACAUUUUGUUUAAACUGUGGGCAGGUAUUAUUGAGUUGAUAUUUGACCAUUUCCCUGCCUCUAUGUAUUACAAUCUGCUGCGUAUUUUAAUAUCAACACUUUAAUGUAAAACUCUUUAAUGAUGUAAACACAAAGCUAUUUAAUGUAGACUUAAUAUUUAAUGCAGUAUACAUUCAAGACUGAAAGAAGGUGGAACGUGAGAUCAUGAGAGACAAAGACACAAGGUAGCUUCACACAGGUUGCACAACUGCUUUGUGUGUGCUAUUGAUUGGUUUGAAGAAAAGAGACCAUAAGGUUUUAUACACUUCAGACUGAUGAAGCAAUGCUGGAUAUGACUUGAAGGAUGAAUGAAAUGAGAGACUAUGGAGGAACAAACAGCAAAGAGCGAUGCGAGGAAUGGUCUGCAGAAUGAUAUUCCACGACUGCAGUCUAUGCUGGCAAAACUUAAUCUAAUACACAAACAUCCCAAAACAGACAAUGUUAAAUUACAUCCAGGUACAGCCUGUAAAAGUAUGUUUUACCAUUCUCUGGAGCCUGUAGAAGGAAUAAAAAAUGAAGAAAACAGGAAAGAAAGCACAGUCAGAUCUGGUGAUGAGGAGCAACCAACUAGGAGUUCUGAAACAAAAGAUGGAAAUGAAGCUGUUGAAGAGGUCAAAGAGCUUCCAGAAGCAUUUCCUAAAUGGGAGAGGAAGAGUAUACUCCCUGACUGUUUGUCCAUAGAAAUCCAGAUGGGAAAAUUAGGUCGCCAGCCAAGAGAAAGUGAGUCUUUGGAGGACAAAAAGAGCACAGAGAUGGAAGAGCAUGUGGCUGGAGCUGCAUUAUUACCUAACAAUCAAUAUCAAGAAAUGUCUGCACACACAUCUUACCUCUCUGUGUCCUCCGAUAAAGUGGACUCUGCACAGAUGGGGUUGAAGCAUGAACCAGAUGAAGCUUGUGGUCCUUCAAAACAGUAUGUCAGUAUGGAUACAAGCAGGGUUCUAACCCAUCAAACAGCUGUGAAUGUUACAGGCAAGAAAACAAGGUCCACUUCAGAUCCAGUAACCCAGGAAUCCAGUAAAUCCUUUAAUCCAAUAAAGGAAGAGAGACCCCUCUCAGCUCCAAGUAUUUCAAACCUACGGGAAUAUGAAAAGUAUGAAGAUUUUGCAAAUGCAAUGCCAGCCAAAAGCUUCAGCAAAGCUGCUAAGAUUUUGGGACAGGGGUAUUCAGGCAUGAGCAUAGGAAAUGUGGAACAUGACAACUCACUCACCAAAACGCAAAAGAAAGGAGUGAAAAACAAAAUGAAGAAUCUUACUCAAAAACUGAUGGAAAAGCUUAAAGAUAAACAUGAUUGUGAGCACGCUGGCAGGAGGAGCACCCAAGACAGCAUGGAAGAAGAAGAAGGACAAAAACUGAAUUCCAUGGAGGUGGAAGCCGAGGAUCAAGCUAUUCCACCACCACUUCCACCAAAAAUGGGGAAAUAUGUUUUCUUAGAAAGAACAUUUACCCUAAAAGACUUCAAACUCAAUCUUGAACCUAUCAACUUAAUGGAAGAAAUAUUCACAGGCAGCGAAUGGCUCAGUUACUUGCCCAUCAAAGAAAGUCCAGCUGAGAAAGAAACUAGUGAUCAGUCAAUGACAAAUGAUGUUCUCCGACCAGAAAAGGACAUUCAGCUCGAUGUUCCUCCCCCGACAGCAGAGCAGGACCAGUCAGAGGACAUAAAGACACCAGAGGAGGACCAGCCAGAGGAUGUAAAGACACCAGAGGAGGACCAGCCAGAGGACGUUAAGGUCAAUCAAGACAGUGCUAGUGAUCCUCAAGAGGACAAUGUAGCAAAAGUGAAAAGUGACUUGGAUGUAAAACAAGUGGAAUGGGAUGCAAACAUAUUUGCUAUACCUAAGGCACUGCUAACAAAUAAUGCAAGACAAAAAAGGUCUUGUGAGUCAAACAAAUCAGAUGACGUCUAUGACUGUGUGGAUAUGUAUAUUAUUCCAAAAAAUGACUUUCCAUUAAUGAAAAGAAAGGCAUCAGAUGCUCUGUUGGACUUUUCAGCAGUCAAGUCAUUUGAACUGCUGGACAACUCUGCCCUCAAGAGUCGAAUUCGUCUUAGCAAAAAGAGACACCACCGAUCACCUAAAAAGCACAAAAAAGUAAAAACAGAGAUGUUGAGCGGCAUAUUCUACAAGAUUCCCAUGGUAAUACUGAAUGAAUCUCCUGUCAGCACAUCUCCACCAUGUCACAGCAUUCCCUUUUCCAUGUCUCCUCCUUUGCAUUUACCAUCACGUCCAUACCACUCCUGACCAUACCAGAUCUAUCAUCUGCAUUUGUCAG